GUCUGUCUGUGUAUGUGUGUGUGUGAGAGCUGACAACCCAUGAGUGCUCAUGUGGCGCAGUGGUUAAGGCUUCGGACCUUAGACUCUGAGGCUGGGGGGUCAGAUCCCACCACUGACACCACUGUGUCACCCCAAGCAGGUCACUUCACCCAUUGUAUCUCAAACGUUGUAAGUCACUUUGGAUAAAGGCGUCACCCAAAUAGACAGAUGGAGGUGGAAGAGCAUUGAGUAGAAUGAGGACACCCAGGAGUUCUGAACGUCACAAACAGAGGAGAAGCCCGUCUGUCUGACGUCUCGUGUUUUAUGCACCACGACAGAAUG